UGAGCUAUGGUGUAACGGUAACACAACAGAUUCUGGUCCUGUUAUUCCAGGUUCGAAUCCUGGUAGCUCAACGA
rnacentral:tRNA from 6 species